CUCAUGUCUGCCCUUUUUGCAUAUUGGCAGGUUUUUUCUAACCAAUUUUUAUUACUAGGUGGGUUCUGUAGUAGAUGGCAGCUCUCAAGCUCACAUUUUGUCUGCUAUAACUUCAGAAAGGGAAGUGCUCUUCUCCUCGGUACUGGCUCAAAGUCUUGAUUAAGCACUGCUUUGGCCCUCCCUGUGUCAGGUACAGCCCCUGGGGCUAUGCAUGGGACUAGGGUCCAUGUCUGACAGCCUCCCUCUCUCCUCACCACCAAGAACAAAUAUCUGGGAGACAGAUGGUGCAGGGGAGAGGGGAGGAGCAUUGCUCAAAGAAGACACAGAGAACCUUCACUGAAAGAAGGAACAGGGCUGGGAAGACACAAGAAAUAACUCCCCACUGACUGCUUCAGUUCAAGAAGCCCUUGAGCCUGAUUUUCCUAAUGUGCACUGCAUGGAGCACAUAGAAUAUUCUUCAAUUGAUGCGAUUUUUUAAGGCUCCCUGAAAAGUUCUGUUCUUGAAAAUAAUGGGUUGAACAGGUUUUGUUUAUUCUAGGAAUUUUCAGGAUGUUUACUGCAAAUCAUCUAAGGCAAUAGGCAAGUGUUUCUCAGACCAAUUUGACUAUGGAACCCUUUACCUCCUUAAACAUUUUUGGGACCAGCAUUCACUCCAACAUGCUUCAGGAACUGUGACCUUAAGUCUGAGAUAAGGACCUGGAGCCAAGAUGUAGGGUUCUUCCCCUUGUUAGUACCUCAUUCCGGAGAACCAUCCUGAAUUAGACAAUUAAGCAUCCAUUUAAUAUGACUUCUAGGAUGAAGAACCUGCUCCAUUUCCCUCAAGGCUUGUCUACUCUGACUACCCAUUUAAUAUGCCUUACCUCCCCGUUUGUACCCUCUUGACCUUGCUCAGGAAGGUCUGAUCUCAGGUUCAAUCAGCCUAUUUCAAAAGCUGAGAAAAGUUAUGGAGGCCAAGUAUGCAGACACUGCAGCUGACUAGAGGAUGCUGGUGCACAGGUGUGAUGGCAGCCAUGACUGGUGCUGACCACCUGAGUGUCGACACCACAGGCUGGAAGAUGGCUGGUGUCUCCAACCCCACAAUGCUCAGGCAUGGAAGGGAAAUGGCCAAAGACAAAGGACUCCACACUGUCCUCAAGGCCCAGUACCCCGAGUGGCACAUGGCAGCCCUGGGAAAUGCCUUCUCUCUUCCUCUUCACUAGUUGUCCAGAGUGUUAACAGCCUGGGUUAAAGCUCACUCUGGGUCAGUCCCACUAAACUAGGACCAGAAUAUGUUAGCAAAAUAAACCAAGGUACAAACCUUCCAAAGAGCCUCUGUGUCUUGUUAGUGAUCCUAAAGCUGAAUGGACUAAGGCUUACAAAUGUUUUUCCCUGUAACAAAUUUUUCAUGGGAAUCAUUAUAAAUAUAUGUACUUUAUUAAGCACUAACUAGGUGCCAGGAAUUGUGCUGUGCCUUACAUACAUUAUUUCAUCUUCACCUCACAAAAAUUGUAUCAGAUAAACACAUUUAUAUCUCCAUCUACGAAUGAGGAAAUAAAACACAGAAAGACAAAUAAUCCAAGGCUAUGUGAUACCAGGGUUCAGGGCCAUACAGGAUCCCCAUCCAACUUAAACUGGUGCUUUCAAUCUAUAUGUCCACUCAAGACAGUCUGCUUCAUGUCACUCAAAAACUGGGUGUCAAUAUUCCAUGUGUUUCCAGUGUUAUUACAACUAUAAAGCUACUUGGAAGCCCUUAAGAGGGAAAGCUCUGGAUGCUGACAUACAUCACUUAAUUCACUACAUGCAAAGAUGUACACACGUGCCCAAUGGUUUCAUCAGUGCCCUUGCUGGAUACUAGCCCUGCAGCCUUGGAUCCUGGGAUCUGUGAACCUUCUUGCCUUACUCAGAGGCUCAGAAAACUCUCCCAGGUCUCUCAUCUCUAAAGAACAGGAAGGUAGCCCCAAAAGCCCUCUGUCAAUUGCCUUUGUGUUCCCCUUCCCAAGGCUACCUUGUCAAAGCUACCAUUCCUGUUCUACCCUUCACUUUAUCUGCCUUUACUCUUCCAAUCACCACCAACAUUUAUAGUCACUCAAUAACUGUACAAUCAUGUCCUGGAUGACUACUAUUUUGGGGAGACUAAGAUAAAUACUACACAUGUAUGUAUGAGUGUGAUACAUAUAUACAUAUACCCACAAAUACAUCUACGCACACACAUACAUAUCUGUGGCCUUCUAUUUUCAUGACACCUUAGUAAAACCACUUACUAGUCAUGGCACCACUGUUAUGUGACAAUUUCACUGAGGUUUUGUUUCCUCAUUUGUAAAAUGGUGACUAUGGUAACUUUCUUAAAGGACUCUUACAAUAGUUACAUGAGAUAAUUUCUGUAAACUGCCUGCCACAAAGUCCAGCCUUUGGGCACUCACUAAAUAAUUACUGUCACCACUACUGUCCCAGCAUCCUUUAGUAAUGAAUUGUAUGGCUCACAUUAUCAUUCAUUCAAAUCUUCCUUUCUUCAUUCAC
rnacentral:lncRNA from 10 species